CAUUGCAUUGCCAUGGAAAAGGAACAUCCUUGACAUGAAGGGAAAGCCCAGUGCAAGGCCCGAGGCUGCUCAGUUCCCAACCUCCUAUUUCCCUGCCUUCCUUUCGAAGGUCCAAGAAGAAAAGAUGUUCAACGACCCUCUUGAGAUGUGUUAGUGCUCUUUUAGAUAUGUCAUUAAUGAAGUGUGUGAUAGGUGUAUGUAUGUAUGUGUCUGUGUAUAUGUAUGUAUGUAUUCGCACACACAUAUGCAUAUGCCAGUAUGUUUUAAUGGCAACUUGAGAGGUAUAGGUGGAUGGCCUUACUUUCAUUAGGGUUAUGGAGAAGGGAAAUUUUUAUGCUGAUUAUGCCUAUGAGAUACCUAAUCUAUUCUAAUACAAACUUUUUAAAAAUACUGAAGUGUAGCUGAUUUGCAGUGUCUUAAUUUCAGCUGUACAGCAAGGUGAUUCAGAUGUACAUUCACAUACAUUCUCUUUCAUAUUCUUUUUCAUUGUGGUUUAUCACCAAGUAUUGAAUAUAGUUCCCUGUGCUCUACAGUAGGACCUUGUGGUUUAUCCAUUCUUUAUUUAAUAGCUUGCCUCAAACCCCAAACUCCUACUCUAUCCCUCUCUCACUCUCUGCCCCCUUGACAACCACAAAUCUGUUCUUGUGUUUAUAACACAAACUUUUGAAACCUUCUCCUCUUGCUUCCUUUAGAUGCCUCUAAUUACUGCCCAGCUGCAUGUUUGGAACUCCAUCAAACAUAAGCAUCAGAGCCAUUAGCCUGAGAACCUGGACUAGCCUGGGGACAUGAGCCUAUGUUUGAGCAGCCAUCCAGGCUACUGAUGGUCACAGACUGUGCCUUCUCAGCCCCAUCUUGGAAUCAGCAUGCUGAUGGGAGUGGCAGAGGAGUAGAAACAAGAGUAGCCUUAAGGUGGUGAUAUUCCACAGGUAGGUACUGUGAUCCGUUGAAAAUGAUUGAUGAUGUAAAGAGAAUAUGAUUAAAGGCCAGCAAAACACACAAAUGAGAUGUAUGUUAGGAGUUUGGGAAGUGGUUGGGGAGGAGUGCUUUAGGAGUCACAGUGAACUGGGGUGGUUGAGAAAGGUUUUCUAGAGAAAGAAUUAUUUGAAUAAUGGUUAAGUCCUAAAAUGAUGCAAAUUCACCUACUACUGUCUCAGGGCACAUAUAGCCCUGAGUAUCUAGAGGUCUGAUUAUGGUUCUGCCUCAGAUUCCCUGUGUAACACCGGGAGUACGUUUCCUGGCCCAUGAAAUGCAGGUGCUCACAACCCCUGCCCCACAGGAGUGUUAUGAUAAGUAACUGAUGGUAAACAUCCAGAGAGAUUUGGUGGUGCUGUUGCUAAAGUUUAAAAAUGUCAGAUGAGAUGGAAACAACCUAAAUGUCCAUCGAAAGAUGAAUGGAUUAAGAAGAUG
rnacentral:lncRNA from 1 species